rnacentral:rRNA from 1 species
UACAGAGGUGGCAAGCGUUGUUCGGAAUUACUGGGCGUAAAGAGCGCGCAGGCGGCUGGUCAAGUCCGAUGUGAAAGCUCCCGGCUUAACUGGGAAAUUGCAUCGGAAACUGAUCGGCUGGAAUGUGGGAGAGGGUAGCGGAAUUCCCGGUGUAGUGGUGAAAUGCGUAGAUAUCGGGAGGAACACCAGUGGCGAAAGCGGCUACCUGGCCCAUUCUUGACGCUGAGGCGCGAAAGCUAGGGGAGCAAACGGG